rnacentral:pre_miRNA from 1 species
AGUGGGAUAGCUGGGUCAAAUGGUGGUUCCAUUCGCACUUUUCCAAGGAAUCUUCAUACUGCUUUCCAUAUUGGCGGCACCAUUUUGCAUUCCCAUCAGCAAU